GACGAACGCUGGCGGCGUGCCUAACACAUGCAAGUUGAGCGACGAACCAGGGCUUGCCCUGGGGCAAAGCAGCGAACGGGUGAGUAACACGUGGGUAACCUACCCCGAUAACCGGGACAACCCGAGGAAACUCGGGCUAAUACCGGAUGUGCUCACUGGACUUCGGUUCAGUGCGUAAAGGAAGCUUCGGCCUCCGUAUCGGGAGGGGCCCGCGGCCCAUUAGUUUGUUGGUGAGGUAACGGCUCACCAAGACCGCGAUGGGUAGCUGGUCUGAGAGGACGAUCAGCCACACUGGGACUGAGACACGGCCCAGACUCCUACGGGAGGCAGCAGUGGGGAAUCUUGCGCAAUGCGCGAAAGCGUGACGCAGCAACGCCGCGUGGGGGAAGAAGGCCUUCGGGUUGUAAACCCCUUUCAGGAGGGACGAAGGUUCGGCGGUGAAUAGCCGUCCGGACUGACGGUACCUCCACAACAAGCCCCGGCUAACUACGUG
rnacentral:rRNA from 1 species